GACCACGUAGCUCAGUUGGCAGAGCAUUGGACUAGUAUUCCAAAGGUCGUAGGUUCGAUUCCCACCGUGGUCA